GGCAGUGCGGCGGGCUACACAUGCAGUCGAGCGGUAGCACAGAGAGCUUGCUCUCGGGUGACGAGCGGCGGACGGGUGAGUAAUGUCUGGGAAACUGCCUGAUGGAGGGGGAUAACUACUGGAAACGGUAGCUAAUACCGCAUAAUGUCGCAAGACCAAAGUGGGGGACCUUCGGGCCUCAUGCCAUCAGAUGUGCCCAGAUGGGAUUAGCUAGUAGGUGGGGUAAUGGCUCACCUAGGCGACGAUCCCUAGCUGGUCUGAGAGGAUGACCAGCCACACUGGAACUGAGACACGGUCCAGACUCCUACGGGAGGCAGCAGUGGGGAAUAUUGCACAAUGGGCGCAAGCCUGAUGCAGCCAUGCCGCGUGUGUGAAGAAGGCCUUCGGGUUGUAAAGCACUUUCAGCGGGGAGGAAGGCGAUAAGGUUAAUAACCUUGUCGAUUGACGUUACCCGCAGAAGAAGCACCGGCUAACUCCGUGCCAGCAGCCGCGGUAAUACGGAGGGUGCAAGCGUUAAUCGGAAUUACUGGGCGUAAAGCGCACGCAGGCGGUCUGUCAAGUCGGAUGUGAAAUCCCCGGGCUCAACCUGGGAACUGCAUUCGAAACUGGCAGGCUAGAGUCUUGUAGAGGGGGGUAGAAUUCCAGGUGUAGCGGUGAAAUGCGUAGAGAUCUGGAGGAAUACCGGUGGCGAAGGCGGCCCCCUGGACAAAGACUGACGCUCAGGUGCGAAAGCGUGGGGAGCAAACAGGAUUAGAUACCCUGGUAGUCCACGCCGUAAACGAUGUCGAUUUGGAGGUUGUGCCCUUGAGGCGUGCUUCCGGGAGCUAACGCGUUAAUCGACCGCCUGGGGAGUACGGCCGCAAGGUUAAACUCAAAUGAAUUGACGGGGCCCGCACAAGCGGUGGAGCAUGUGAUUAAUUCGAUGCAACGCGAGACCUUACCUGGUCUGACAUCCACAGAACUUUCAAGAGAUGGAUGGUGCUUCGGGACUUGUGAAAAGUGCUGCAUGCUUGUCGUCAGCUCGGUGUGAAAUGUUGGUAAGUUCCCGACCAAGCACCCUAUCUUGGUGCAACGGUUCGCGGAACUCAAGAACUCGCCAUGGUAACUGAG
rnacentral:rRNA from 1 species